rnacentral:rRNA from 1 species
AUGGAAGCUAUCCAACCAUGUCUAACAGCAGUUGUCAGAAAAGAAUUGCUGAAACAUCAGGAUCAAGAUGUUAAAGUUCUCUUGGCAACCUGCUUCUGUGAAAUUACAAGAAUAACUGCACCUGAAGCUCCAUAUAGUGAUGAUGUUUUAAGGACCAUAUUUCGUCUGAUUGUUGGUACAUUUGGUGGACUCGCUGAUGUUAAUAGCCAUUACUUUAGCAGGAGAGUUGCUAUUUUCGAAACAGUUGCAAGAUACUGGGCAUGUGUUGUGAUGUUGGACCUUGAAUGCAAUGAUCUCAUCACAGACAUGUUCCGAACUUUUUUAGAAAUCGUCAGGUAA